AUGAGAAGGCAGGGGCGCAAUGAGGCUUCCCCGUCGAUCAUCCACACGUCGUCCAUAGCCCUCCUCCAGGAGCGGUUCAGGAACCUGCAGAGGGUCAAGGAGAUGCGGGAGGGCAGGGAGCUGCAGCGGGUGCACCACUCCGCCGACGCCACCGACCGCGCCGGCUCCCCGUUGCCGCCGGCGCCUCUCGACCUUGGCCUGCAGCCCACGGCGGCCGGCGGCGACGAGCGGCCGAGGUGGUUCUUGCACCCGGACCUGGUGCGGCCGUCCAGGCCCCUGCACGGCGCGUCCGCCUACAGCGGCUUCGGCGGCGACAACGGCGGCGUUCAGGCGUCGCAGCCCGCGGCGGCGGCGGCGGCGGGCUCGUGGGGGGAGGUGCCGAGAAUGCAGAAUUCGGGCUAUAGGGGUGAUGUAGACGUGGACACCUCGCUUCAUCUGUAA
rnacentral:rRNA from 1 species